rnacentral:rRNA from 1 species
CCUACGGGUGGCUGCAGUCGAGAAUUUUUCUCAAUGGGGGAAACCCUGAAGGAGCGACGCCGCGUGGAGGAUGAAGGUCUUCGGAUUGUAAACUCCUGUCAUUUGGGAACUAGUACCAGAAGAGGAAGAGACGGCUAACUCUGUGCCAGCAGCCGCGGUAAUACAGAGGUCUCAAGCGUUGUUCGGAUUCAUUGGGCGUAAAGGGUGCGUAGGUGGCGGGGUAAGUCAGGUGUGAAAUCUCGAGGCUCAACCUCGAAACUGCACUUGAUACUGCCUUGCUAGAGUACUGGAGAGGAGAUUGGAAUUUACGGUGUAGCAGUGAAAUGCGUAGAUAUCGUAAGGAAGACCAGUGGCGAAGGCGAAUCUCUGGACAGUACUGACACUGAGGCACGAAGGCCAGGGGAGCAAACGGGAUUAGAUACCCUUGUAGUC